rnacentral:tRNA from 1 species
GGGGCAGUAGCUCAGUGGUUAGAGCGGCGGACUCAUAACCCGUUGGUCAGUGGUUCAAUCCCACUCUGCCCCA